rnacentral:misc_RNA from 1 species
GAUGAAGAACGUAGCGAAAUGCGAUACUUGGUGUGAAUUGCAGAAUCCCGUGAACCGUCGAGUCUUUGAACGCAAGUUGCGCCCGAAGCCAUUAGGCCGAGGGCACGCCUGCCUGGGCGUCACACGUCGUUGCCCCCCCAUCUACUCCUUCGGGAUUGCGGGGGGCGGAUGAUGGCCUCCCGUGCGCCUCGCCGCGCGGUUGGCAUAAAUGCCAAGUCCUCGGCGACGCACGCCACGACAAUCGGUGGUUGCGAAACCUCGGUUGCCCGUCGUGUGCGGUCGUCGCGCAUCGAGGGCUCGAAAAAAUUGCCGGGUUCCGGCUCGGCUUUCAACGCGACCCCAGGUCAGGCGGGGUUACCCGCUGAAUUUAAGCAUAUCAAUAAGCGGAGGA